UGUAGAGCUUCCUCAGGCAGAGGAAUUGCCUGAUGAGGAGCCAGGGGUUGUGCCACGCUUCGGUGGGGGGAGUGUGACACGGAGGGGGAGCCAAGUGAGGGCAAGAAUUGUAGCAGAAUAUUUCAGCUGAAUUAUCACACGAACUGUGGACAACAACAACGGCAAAACUCCCCACCCCCUUCCCCUUCUCACUCCCCCUCCCCUUCUCACACCCCCUCCCCUUCUCACUCCCCCUCCCCUUCUCACUCCCCCUCCCCUUCUCACUCCCCCUCCCCUU